rnacentral:rRNA from 1 species
GGAUGCUGCAGUUAAAGGGUCCGUAGUCUGUUGUGUAUGUCUUUGUGUGUGAUGUUUGUGGUUGUGUGUGGAUGUAGUGAUGUGUGUGGCAGAGGACGAGGGGCACUGGAUAGUUGGGCGAGAGGUGAAAUGCGAAGACCCUGACUGGACGAGCGGAAGCGAAGGCUGUGCUCUUGGACUAAUGUUGCGAUGAAGGACGAAGGCUAGAGGAUCGAAAUCGAUUAGAUACCGUUUUAGUUCUAGCAGUAAACGAUGCCGACUGGACGGGACAGUGUGUGUUGUCCAUGAGAAAUCUUGAGUAUGCGGGUUCUGGGGAUAGUAUGCUCGCAAGAGUGA